rnacentral:rRNA from 1 species
CCCGACUGCUAUUUGGGUGAGAAUAAGCCAUGCGAGUUGAAUGGAAUACCUAAAUUUUCCAUAGCAAACUGCUCAGUAACACAUGAUCAACUUACCCUAUAGAGAAAAAUAAUCUCGGGAAACUGAGGAUAAUGUUUCAUAGUUGAAAAGGCUUGGAAAAGUUUUUCAAUCAAAAGGAUAAGAAAAAUGGUUUUUAUCCGCUAUAGGAUAGGAUCGUGGUCGAUUAUGGUUGUUGGUGAGGUAAUGGCUCACCAAGCCGAUAAUCGAUAGGGGCCGUGAGAGCGGGAGCCCCGAGAUGGGUACUGAGACAACGACCCAGGCCUUACGAGGCGCAGCAGGCGCGAAACCUCCGCAAUACACGAAAGUGUGACGGGGUUACCCAAAGUGUUCAAUUUUGAACUGUGGUAGGUGAGUAAUGUUCCCUACUUGAAAGGAGAGGGCAAGGCUGGUGCCAGCCGCCGCGGUAAAACCAGCUCUUCAAGUGGUCGGGAUAAUUAUUGGGCUUAAAGUGUCCGUAGCCGGUUUAGUAAGUUCCUGGUAAAAUCGGGUAGCUUAACUAUCUGUAUGCUAGGAAUACUGCUAAACUAGAGGGCGGGAGAGGUCUGAGGUACUACAGGGGUAGGGGUGAAAUCUUAUAAUCCUUGUAGGACCACCAGUGGCGAAGGCGUCAGACUGGAACAUGCCUGACGGUGAGGGACGAAAGCCAGGGGAGCAAACCGGAUUAGAUACCCGGGUAGUCCUGGCCGUAAACGAUGCAUACUAGGUGAUGGCAUGGCCAUGAGCCGUGUCAGUGCCGUAGGGAAACCGUUAAGUAUGCCGCCUGGAAGUACGGUCGCAAGGCUAAAACUUAAAGG